UACGUAGGGGGCAAGCGUUGGUCCGGAAUCAUUGGGUCGUAAAGCGCGUGUAGGCGGCUCGGUAAGUCCGCUCUGAAAGUCCAGGGCUCAACCCUGGGAUGCGGGUGGAUACUGCCGGGCUCGAGUCCGGAAGAGGCGAAGUGGAAUUCCCGGUGUAGCGGUGAAAUGCGCAGAUAUCGGGAGGAACACCAAUGGCGAAGGCAGCUCGCUGGGACGUGACUGACGCUGAGACGCGAAAGCGUGGGGAGCAAACAGG
rnacentral:rRNA from 1 species